rnacentral:rRNA from 1 species
GAUGAACGCUGGCGGCGUGCCUAAUACAUGCAAGUCGAGCGAACAGACGAGGAGCUUGCUCCUCUGACGUUAGCGGCGGACGGGUGAGUAACACGUGGAUAACCUACCUAUAAGACUGGGAUAACUUCGGGAAACCGGAGCUAAUACCGGAUAAUAUAUUGAACCGCAUGGUUCAAUAGUGAAAGACGGUUUUGCUGUCACUUAUAGAUGGGUCCGCGCCGCAUUAGCUAGUUGGUAAGGUAACGGCUUACCAAGGCAACGAUGCGUAGCCGACCUGAGAGGGUGAUCGGCCACACUGGAACUGAGACACGGUCCAGACUCCUACGGGAGGCAGCAGUAGGGAAUCUUCCGCAAUGGGCGAAAGCCUGACGGAGCAACGCCGCGUGAGUGAUGAAGGUCUUCGGAUCGUAAAACCCUGUUAUUAGGGAAGAACAAAUGUGUAAGUAACUAUGCACGUCUUGACGGUACCUAAUCAGAAAGCCACGGCUAACUACGUG